rnacentral:lncRNA from 1 species
CGCUGAGUGGCGGGUAUAGGGUGUCACACCCCUCGGAGCCCCGAGGAUGAGGGGUGAGCGUCCGGGCAACCGCCAAGCUCCUGAGGCUGGCCCACUGACACCAUGCCUAUUCCAAUGAACCAAAGGAUUUUGGAAAUAAAAGCUUUGCAGUAACCCA